GUCAAAUCUGUCCUCAAAUUUCACAUCCGACUUCUUCCAUUUCACCUGUAUAUGCAUUUAGGGACACUCAAAUGCGUAGUUUAUACCAUUUGUUUACAAUAAAAUCACAUUUACAAGACAGCCAUAAUUAUUAACACCCAAAGACUUAAUUAUACCAAAAGAAAUUUGAAUAGCCCAUCCAGUACUCACAGAGUAAGACAUUGCAAUCCUUGUGUUGGGCACGAGUCGAACUUUGCCUUCACUUGUAAGAUUUACAUCAACAAUUCUGUUGCCGUUAAAGCCAAUCUCGAGUUUCUUGUACGUCCAAAGGUAGUGAUCUUCUCCAUUUUCAUCUGCCUCUCCAACAA